GUGGUUAGCUCAGUUGGUUAGAGCACCUGCUUUACACGCAGGGGGUCAGAGGUUCGAGUCCUCUACCG
rnacentral:tRNA from 1 species